rnacentral:lncRNA from 1 species
GUGACCUGUAAAUGCCAGUGAAGACCGCUGUACGGCAAGUGCUUCCCAUUACGUUUUGUCCGUGACCUCUACGUAUUCUCAUUUCAUUUCCUUCCUAAAUCAAAUCUUGUAGAUUCCAAUUAUUGCCGCAAUACGUAUUCGGAUCGCUCAAUUCUCAAAUUAAGGAUUCAAAAUCAAAAUCACGAAUCGUAUAAUUAGAAACGAAAUUGCAGAUCGGGGCCUCCAACUCGUAAACUCUGACGGCGAGGCGCUCAGGUACGUAUGUGAUUUAGGUAUCUGAUUAUAUUUAUGUACAUAAAUUUUUGAUUUGUAAUUCUGGGAUUUUCUUUUAUCUACCCAUUCAUGCAUCUAUUGUUGAAUUAUUUCAAGAUUUCCACUGGGGUUGAGUUUUUACGAUAUAUGUUUGUGAUUUUCUGUUUGCAUUUCUUAUUGAAGGGAUUUUGUUGGGCCUUUUCUUUUCUUUUCUUUUUACAGGAAAUGUGAAUGAGAAUUAGCGAGUGGCGUCUGCUCACUGCUGAUUCUACAGGUAUAAUUUGUCUGUGUGUGAAAGAAUGACCUAAACUCCACGUUGUAUUUUUUGUGUGGAAUAUUCAUAAUCGGAAUUGAUUCCCACAGAAAUAUUUUGAUUUUCUUGUCUGAAUUUCUCCUUUUUUCUUAGAAUUACAUUUUCCAAAUGUACGGUUUUAAUCUUCUUUUUACAGUAAAAUCUGUAGGAAAAAUAAAUUCGA